UGUUCAUAGCAAAGACUGCUGAAUGUAACUGGAACGGAAGGCGUUUUGUGAUUGACAGAAGCUGAGGGGGCCAAGUUGUCCCUGUGGGAAGGUGUGCAGAGGCCCUAGGAGUUACAACCCACUUUUACCUUGCCUUCCCAGCCUGGCACAAGCUGGGAGACAGGAUGGACAUAGGCAGGCGGCCUGGAGGAUUGGGGUUACAGAACACGGCUGGGGCUUGCGGAUUUCUCUGGCUGUGGAGACUUGUGGUGAAGGACAUAUGGCCAGCUGCUGGGAACUGAUUCUACUUGAGAGCUUGUGAAAAAUAACAUUAUUUUUUAUAUUGGAGCCAAGAUCACUGUAUGAAGCAGGAUGCAACUUGAUCAUGAUAUUUUUUUCUAAAGCCAAACCAUGAACUUUCCAGUGAAGUUUAUGAGAGGAAGCCCUUCCCCUGGUUUCCUUACAGUCUAUGUCCAUCUUGGUUCUCACUUGUAAUACACACGGAAGACUAUAGAGUGCUGACACAUGGUCUCUUGUGUGCAGCAUAGUCCAGGAUGUGGUCUUGGCCUCCUACAGGCCUUACCUGCCACUCUGUACUGAAGCUUCCUCCCAGCUAGAUGCCACCC
rnacentral:lncRNA from 1 species